ensembl:lncRNA
CUGUGUCCCUGUCCCUGUGCUGUGUCCCCGUGCCUCAGUGUCCCCACGUUUUGUCCCCACGCUGUGUCCCCAUCCCUCCGUGUCCCCGCGGCCCCGGGGUCUCUGUGCUGUGGGGAGGACCCGUCCGUGCCCCCUGGCCGUGGGUUUGGGUGGGGGGCUCGGUUCGUGUGCGCCGUGUGCCCCCCACGGUGGCUCUGUCCCAUCCUGGGGACACCUCGGGGUCCCCCCGUGGCGCUGGGGGGGGUGGCAUUCCAUCCGUCCGUCCGUCCGUCCAUCUGUUGUGCCGUCCUGGAUCCGUCCGUCCCUCUGCCCCACAUCUGUCUGCCCCAUGGGGGUGGCAGCGGCAUGGUGGGGGCGGGUGGCGUUAACCCCUUCAGUGCUGCACAGUGGGGGCGGGUUGGGGCCUCCCACGUGUGACAUGGGGGGCACUGAGGCACUGGGGGGGGACACAGCACAACACAUCCCUGCCUCAGCUUCCAUGAGGUGUGGGAGCAGUCAGCGCCCUCGUGCAACGCCGUGUCCCCAUGCCCUCGUGCCACGCCGUGUCCUCAUACCAUGUCACGUCCCCCUGUCACAUCGUGUCCCCGUGCCCCACACCUGUGUCCCCCUGUGUUCCCAUGGCUGCUGUGUCCCCACGCCCCACACUCGUGUGUCCCUGUGUUGUGGUGCUGCCGUGUCCCCGUGUCGCACCACGUCCUCCUCCGUGUCACCGCCGUGUCCUCGUGCUGCCACGCUCACAGUGUCCCCGUGCUGUGCCAUGUCCCGGUGCCACGCUGUGUCCUCGUCACCUCGUGCCCCUGCGCCGUGUGCCGCGCUGCGCUCUGUGCCGAGGGUUCCACGCUGCAUCCUUGUGCUGCCGUGCCAUCGUGUCCCCUGGCCGUGCCACGUCCUCACACUCACUGUGUCCUUGUGCCACCGUGCCCUGUGCCCAUGCUGUCCCCAUGCUGCGCCACAUCCUUGUGCCUCGUGGUGCAUCCUUGUGCCCACCGUGUCCUUGUGCCCACUCACCCUCGUGCCCCACGGCAUUGCCUCAUGGUUGCCACAUCCCCGUGCCCCGUCCUUGUGCCCGAUGGUGCCCACACAUCCUCACGCCCCGUGCCAUUUCCUUGUGUCCGCCGCAUCCUCGUGCCCCACAGCGUGAUCUUGUUCCCCACAGCGUGUCCUCAUGCCCCAUGGCACCUCCUUGUAUCCACCGUCUCUUCAUGAUUCAUGGCACGUUCUCGUGCCCACUCAUCCUCGUGCCCCACAGCAUUGCCUUGUGGUUGCCACAUCCCCGUGCCCCAUGGCAUGCACUUGUGCCCCAUGGUGCCCGCC